rnacentral:piRNA from 1 species
UACUUUCUCUUUUAACAAGCU